UUAGAGUUUGAUCAUGGCUCAGGAUUAACGCUAGCGGCAGGCAUAAUACAUGCAAGUUGAACGAGAUUAGUUUUAGCAAUAGAACUUUUUUAGUGGCGCACGGGUGCGUAACGCGUAUGUAACCUACCUUAAACAGGGGAAUAGCCUCUCGAAAGAGAGAUUAAUACCGCAUAAUAUAUAUUUAGAGCAUUCUAGAUAUAUUAAACCUACGGGGGUUUAAGAUGGGCAUGCGUGACAUUAGCUAGUUGGUGAGGCAAUGGCUCACCAAGGCAACGAUGUCUAGGGGGUCUGAGAGGAUGUCCCCCCACACUGGUACUGAGACACGGACCAGACUCCUACGGGAGGCAGCAGUAGGGAAUAUUGGUCAAUGGAGGCAACUCUGAACCAGCCAUGCCGCGUGCAGGACUAAGGCCCUAUGGGUCGUAAACUGCUUUUGAACGGGAAGAAAUGUAUCUACGUGUAGAUAUUUGACGGUACCGUUAGAAUAAGGAUCGGCUAACUUCGUGCCAGCAGCCGCGGUAAUACGAAGGAUCCAAGCGUUGUCCGGAUUUACUGGGUUUAAAGGGUGCGUAGGCGGACUUAUAAGUCAGUGGUGAAAGCCUUCAGCUUAACUGAAGAACUGCCAUUGAAACUGUAAGUCUCGAGUUCGGUUGAGGUCAUUGGAAUGUAACAUGUAGCGGUGAAAUGCAUAGAUAUGUUACAGAACACCAAUUGCGAAGGCAGAUGACUAAACCGAAACUGACGCUGAGGCACGAAAGCGUGGGGAUCAAACAGGAUUAGAUACCCUGGUAGUCCACGCCCUAAACGUUGAAUACUCGACCUUAGCGAUAUACAGUUAGGGUCCAAGCGAAAGCGUUAAGUAUUCCACCUGGGAAGUACGUUCGCAAGAAUGAAACUCAAGGAAUUGACGGGGCCCGCACAAGC
rnacentral:rRNA from 1 species